rnacentral:rRNA from 1 species
CAGCCGCCGCGGGAAUGCGAAGGGUGCAAGCGUUAAUCGGAAUUACUGGGCGUAAAGCGUGCGUAGGCGGUUUGUUAAGUCUGUUGUGAAAUCCCCGGGCUCAACCUGGGAAUGGCAAUGGAUACUGGCAAGCUAGAGUCUGGCAGAGGGGGGUGGAAUUCCGCGUGUAGCAGUGAAAUGCGUAGAUAUGCGGAGGAACACCGAUGGCGAGGGCAGCCCCCUGGGCCAACACUGACGCUCAUGCACGAAAGCGUGGGGAGCAAACAGGAUUAGAUACCCCAGUAGUCCCUGUCUCUUAUAC